GGAUACGGCCAUACUGCGCAGAAAGCACCGCUUCCCAUCCGAACAGCGAAGUUAAGCUGCGCCAGGCGGUGUUAGUACUGGGGUGGGCGACCACCCGGGAAUCCACCGCGCCGUACGCC
rnacentral:rRNA from 1 species